GUUGGCGGCGUGAGGCUCCCCGGGAGGCUCCCCGGGACGGUCACUUUGCGGCGAGGUUGGGCUGCUCGUUUGCAGCUUGUCAUGUGUGUGCCUUACUACAGCCUUAGUAGUGCAAAGGAGAAAACAGUCCAUGAAAAAGGUUGAAUAUGAUGAAACCUGAAAACAUAUAUGGAAAAUAUGGUAUCCUUAUGGAGGAAAUGUACAGAAAUACUACUGGUGUGUACCUCAGUGCUCUUCUGCUGCCCUAGACUCCUCUUCCACAUCCAUGUUGCUUGUUCUCUUAAACAGGGCUGGAACAGUGGCUUAGAAAAUCAGAGAACAGCCAACCAUGACAGAACUGGAUUGAAACUAGUUGGAUCCAGGGUUUUCUCAAGGCCUAUGGCAGUGAGUUAUCCUGAGUACCUGAAGUCACACAGAAGCCUUUGGAGUGUUCUGAAUGACCUCUCCUGCAAGUGCAACCCAUUUCAGGACUGUGCACCCUGGGCCUCUUCAGGCAUUGACCAUCUUGGAUUGUAAAUAUAUGUAAUCAAUCAAUAUUUUAAAUAGCUUGGCCUUUCACCUUAACAUCUGUUGCCAAAACAGUACUCUGAGCAUCUGUGACUCGCAGCUUUUCUUUUCCCCAGCUUUAUACCAACUGA